rnacentral:rRNA from 1 species
AUUGAACGCUGGCGGCAGGCCUAACACAUGCAAGUCGAGCGGAUGAAGGGAGCUUGCUCCUGGAUUCAGCGGCGGACGGGUGAGUAAUGCCUAGGAAUCUGCCUGGUAGUGGGGGAUAACGUCCGGAAACGGGCGCUAAUACCGCAUACGUCCUGAGGGAGAAAGUGGGGGAUCUUCGGACCUGACGCUAUCAGAUGAGCCUAGGUCGGAUUAGCUAGUUGGUGGGGUAAAGGCCCACCAAGGCGACGAUCCGUAACUGGUCUGAGAGGAUGAUCAGUCACACUGGAACUGAGACACGGUCCAGACUCCUACGGGAGGCAGCAGUGGGGAAUAUUGGACAAUGGGCGAAAGCCUGAUCCAGCCAUGCCGCGUGUGUGAAGAAGGUCUUCGGAUUGUAAAGCACUUUAAGUUGGGAGGAAGGGCAGUAAGUUAAUACCUUGCUGUUUUGACGUUACCAACAGAAUAAGCACCGGCUAACUUCGUG